rnacentral:rRNA from 1 species
GACAGCAGCCGCCGCGGGAAUACAGAGGGUGCGAGCGUUAAUCGGAUUUACUGGGCGUAAAGCGUGCGUAGGCGGCUUCUUAAGUCGGAUGUGAAAUCCCUGAGCUUAACUUAGGAAUUGCAUUCGAUACUGGGAAGCUAGAGUAUGGGAGAGGAUGGUAGAAUUCCAGGUGUAGCGGUGAAAUGCGUAGAGAUCUGGAGGAAUACCGAUGGCGAAGGCAGCCAUCUGGCCUAAUACUGACGCUGAGGUACGAAAGCAUGGGGAGCAAACAGGAUUAGAUACCCGCGUAGUCCCUGUCUCUUAUAC